rnacentral:rRNA from 1 species
UACGAAGGGUGCAAACGUUGCUCGGAAUUAUUGGGCGUAAAGAGCGUGUAGGCGGCCAGGUAGGUCUGGUGUGAAAACUCGAGGCUUAACCUCGAGAUGUCAUCGGAAACCAUCUGGCUAGAGUCCGGAAGAGGAGAGUGGAAUUCCUGGUGUAGCGGUGAAAUGCGCAGAUAUCAGGAAGAACACCAAUGGCGAAGGCAGCUCUCUGGGACGGUACUGACGCUGAGACGCGAAAGCGUGGGGAGCGAACAGG